GCCUCGACGAAAUGGCCGACGCGGGAUCUGGCCAUGACGGGGAUGGAGACGGCGCGUUUGAUGGCCUUGACGAGGGAGGGAUCGGGCAUGCGGAGAAUGCCGGCGGCGGCGCCGCGGGGGGAGGAGACGAUGACGGAGCAGGCGCCGGCGUCCUCGGCGAGCUUGGCUUGAUCGGGGUUGGUGACUUCGACGAUGGCGCCGCCGCGGAGCAUCUGGGCGAGGCCGACCUUGAGGCUGUAGGGAUUCUUUUUCUUCGAGGCGUCGGCGACUGCGCCGCUGGUGUAGAUGGUGACUGCACCGUCCUGAGACGCCAUGGUUUGUGAUUUGUGAAGAUGGGUUGAGGAUUGAGAGAGAGAA
rnacentral:lncRNA from 1 species